rnacentral:rRNA from 1 species
GACGAACGCUGGCGGCGUGCUUAACACAUGCAAGUCGAACGGAAAGGCCCUGCUUUUGUGGGGUGCUCGAGUGGCGAACGGGUGAGUAACACGUGAGUAACCUGCCCUUGACUUUGGGAUAACUUCAGGAAACUGGGGCUAAUACCGGAUAGGAGCUCCUGCUGCAUGGUGGGGGUUGGAAAGUUUCGGCGGUUGGGGAUGGACUCGCGGCUUAUCAGCUUGUUGGUGGGGUAGUGGCUUACCAAGGCUUUGACGGGUAGCCGGCCUGAGAGGGUGACCGGCCACAUUGGGACUGAGAUACGGCCCAGACUCCUACGGGAGGCAGCAGGGGGGAAUAUUGCACAGUGGGCGGAAGCCUGAUGCAGCAACGCCGCGUGCGGGAUGACGGCCUUCGGGUUGUAAACCGCUUUCGCCUGUGACGAAGCGUGAGUGACGGUAAUGGGUAAAGAAGCACCGGCUAACUACGUG